rnacentral:rRNA from 1 species
AUGGAAAUUGAAAAGGUUAUGGAGGAGACAAGGAGGAAGGAAAUUGAAAUGUUUAGGAAGAAUACGAAAAAUAAAGAGAAGGUCACUUCUGUGAAGAGAAAAGCUGCAGUGAUGGAUAAUGAGGAGGAUAGUGAUGAUGAUGAUUUGAAAGAAUAUGGUGAUAUCCUUGCUAGGCUUGAGGAGAUGAAAAGACAGAGGGAAGAUCCACUCCUUCAUUUUAAAGGGGACACAGAUGUUGAGGAAAUGUAUGAGACAGAGGAGGAGGAUGCACUAUAUGAGCCUGAAAGUGAAGAAGAGGAUGAAGAGAGUACUCUGGAGGAAGAGAGUAAUUUGGAGCAGGUAGGGCAAGAUGGACAGAAGAAGAAAAAGGAGAAUAAACACAGAAAAGGCCCAACAAGCAGAUCACAUGCAAGUGUAGAGGAGUUGUUUGAGGAGGACUGGAUACCAUCUUCUGAUGAAGACAAGAAACCAAUGGACUUGGGUGUGGAAGAUGAUGAUGGUGCAGAGGCAUUGACAUAUGUUUUGCCCAAUGGCAGGAAAAGCAAAGCUAAGAAGAUGAAGAAAAGGUUAUGGUAUGAUGAGAAGAGAGCUCACCCAGCUGAGGAAUUUGUGAAGCAUCUUUGCUUCAUUGAUGUGUACCAGUUCAGAAAUGCACUUCAAACAAUGCACAUUGCAUAG